rnacentral:lncRNA from 1 species
CCACGAGUCACCUACGACAUGCGAGGGAACUACUGCAGCAAGAAAGGAAACAAUUUCUUACGGAAACAAGACAUUUCAAUUCCACAAAUAAAAGGAGGAAACCCCCUCUUAUUAGAAACCGAAGCAAACGAAAGAAGGGAAAAAAAUUGCAUACAUAAGUACACAUGACAAAUAAAGAGGAAAAAAUGAAACAAAGAGAAGAAAAACUUCGAUAUGAGAGGGAAAGAGAGAUAGAGAGAGAUCAAGGAUAAGGACUUCCGGCGAAACUUGGUAGGAAAGAACCAGACCAGGUGAUUUAUUGGAGGGGCCUGUCAGCGAACCACCGGCCGAGGUUAUAGACCUCAGUAGGUUGGAAUCAUCGUUUGGAUCAUUAGAAAAGUAAUUUCCUAAAUACAAUUACAACGCGUGAACAUUUCAACUCCAGAGAGAAGGGAAUAAAUCAUCAAUUGAACUAAAGAAAAGCCUUUUCACCAUGAAUGCACGCAUUAUUAGCAAAAAUCAAAAGAGAACUAAAAGGCGGAGCAAGUUUGACCGCA